GUUUAAGAGAAAUCGAGUCAAGGGCAACUUUUUUAAUUCGCUUGUUUCUCAUCUCGCCUAGUCGCUUUUAACCUUCUCUCACCUCUACUCUAUCUAUCUCAGAUACUCACUUUUUCAUCACAGGGAAGCAGCCCACGCAAGAGAUUCAAGAGAAACCCGAAUAGUGCAAGAUCUUUCUGUCAAUUCUGUUCAAGCUAUAAAAGUUCAAUCACAAGCUUUGAGAAAGGUUAAAGAUUCCAAAAAAGCAUGCAUUAUUUAAUUUUGUCUAUUUAUCAUUUUUAUUUUCAUAUAUGCAGGGUAUAGGAAUAAAUUAGUAGUCUGGAGGUUUAAAUAUAAUAGUUUCUCAUAGUUUUUAUUUAUUUAUUUAUUUUUAUUUUAAUUUAUCUAAUUUAAUCCAGAAAUUAUAAUUGCAUAAUUUUAUUCAUGAUGAUUUCUGUUUUUUCCAUUCCCAGCAAAGGGCAACUUUUUUAAAUUCUCCCGUGGCCAAGUCUCGUUGUUAAAGGCCAUCUUUUGGUUGUGUGCCAUUGGUAUGUUUUUCAAGUUCUCAAUGAUAUGCCUUUUCUUCUGAUUAGGAUGUUCCUUGUCUUGAUUCAUGUUUGAUUUAUUUUAUUUGAAAGCUAGAAAGAAAAAGUUCUAUGUCUUCUAUUGUGCUUUUGUCAUACAACUUGAUUUUCUAUUAGACAAUUUUCCAGGGAAACCAUGUUCAAACUUUGUCCUUCAAAAUAGAGGCCUGUUGGUGUUUUAGUUAAUAGUUACUUUAUAUUUUUUAGUGUUCAUAGUAUUUAUUGGUAGAAUUUGAACAUCAGAUGUUUAUAACUGUGUAGAUACAUAUUUGGACUCAUUCUGCAUCUACAUCAUUCUAAGUUUGCUUUAUAUGGUUUUCUCUUUUAUCUUUAAGUCAUAUGAUAAUGUGCUGGUGUGUAUUAAAAGUUGAUUGUCUGUCUACUUGAAGCUUUGUUGCCUAUCUGUAUUGUAUUGUUUCUAAUGUCCAUAAACAUUUUGGUAUUGUAUCAUUACACACAUUUAAAAAAGUUGAAUUACAUCUUAUACAAUUCAAUUAUUUUCUUGUUAAAAUUUUGGACUCAUUGGCUUAGUAAAGAACUCACUAUCAGUGUUUUUGAUUUCUCUCUAUUUCCCUAGUGUAUUUGUGUAUAUAUGCUCUUCUGUUGAAAUCAUUUGAGAACAAAUUUCUAGUGUGAAUUGAUAAGAUAAAAGCAUGGAAUACAACAGGGGAUCUUGCUGAUGGUCAAUGCUUGUUUACGUAAUUGGUAUAACAAUACCCAGUUUGACCCGUACUGUUGUCUCUUGUUGUGUUUUUAGAGUAAUAACUACGUUCUCUUUGCUCUGUUCUUGUAUGAUACAAUAUCAUAAUCUGUUGUAUUAGAGUAAUGAGCCAAUAGUUUUAUGCUCUCAAGACUUGAACUAUUUUUUAAUAUGAAUUUAUUUCAGUUAAUAUGUAAAGCGUUGAGGCAAAAAUGUUUUAACUUAGCUGACAAGAACAGAAGACGAUUGAUGCAAUCAUCAAGGUAAUGGUAUAUGACGCUCGUAACCCCUUUUCUAUUAUUUUUUUAUUGCCAAGACAUAACCUCUUAGUGCAACUAUACGUAUUCGCAAACUUAACUGUUACUUUUAUUUAGCUGUUUAAUUCUAGUCUGGGGUAAAUUUGAACUUCAAAUUCAAGCUGUUUUCAUUAAGAAUAAAAACACAUCAUGUAUUAAUAAUGUCACACUGAUGAAGAUGAUUUUGAUAUAUCAUUUUUUUAGGUGUCAUUUUAUUGCGCAUGCUAACGUUUAUUUUUUUUAGAAAAAAAAUUACUUUUGUCGACACUUUUUUACGCUGGCUAAAGUCUAAAAUUUCAACGACUUUUUCUGGUGCUUUUUUUCCGUUGUCAAAAGUCUUGUACUAUUUUUUUGGUUCUUUCAACUUUACCGAUGCAAAAAAACGCCAACGACUGUUAUUACUGGCGAGCUUUUCUUAGUGAUUUUUUGCGCCAGCAAAAGUGUGCAAAUCAAGACUUUUGUUGACGCAAAAAAAGUUUCAGCAAAAGUCACUGCUUUGUUGUGGCAACGGUUAAAGAAAGGCUGAAGAUGACCAACAUGCUUUGUGGUGGUGCACGACUAUGAAGAAAUUUCAGAAAAAUAGUGGCUUCUUCAAUCUUAUGAAACAAGCGCACCACAAUGAUUGCGUUACUUUUCUGUUGAAUAUCUCUGGAUUUAUGGCCAAAGAGAAUUUUGAGAUGUUGGCAUUAUCUUAGCAAGCCUAAUAUUUAAAAAGAACUUAUUACAUGAAAGAUCUUGUUUGCGAUGAAUGAUGUGCUAGAGUGGAUUUCAAGGUUGGUUGCUUGGUGAAGAAAUUCUACAUGAGAACAAAAGAAAUCAGGUUUGUUGAAGAAGAUCAUUGGCCUCCCCCAACAAAUAAUAUGACUUUAAUCAAUGUAGAUUAUUGGGAAGUAAAAUGCGUGCAGAAAUGAUGCAGCGGCUAGAGAUAGAACAGUGGAGGAGAUCAUUCAUGAUUCCAUUUUUCGCUCUUCUCUUAGCUUCCAUUUAACCCCAAGAACAACCAACUCUUCAGUUCAUUUCUUUUCUCACUAAAAAUGCUUCUAAAGUAUAACAUUAACUUGUUGAAAGAGGAUUUCCGUCAAUCAGAGCUGUGCAUGAGAAAAUGGGGGCCAAGAUGAGUGUUUCCCUGAUCCAGAUUGGGCAGGCUACAAGGUAGAUAGACGAUCCACUUCAAGAUAUUGUGCAUUUGUACAUAAAAUUAUAGGUCCUCUUUAAAAAGAGUAGUCAAAAAAAUUGUUAAGGGAAUUAGAGGACCAAAAAAAAAUAUGAUAUGAAAAAAUGACAACCUAUUUUUAUAAUGUUUUUCUUAAGAAAAAUAAAUUCAAAAAUAAUUAGUGUUUUAACCAACUAAUAUUAUAAGUAUAUUUAUAUUCUUUAUAGAUCACUUGUGAUCUCUAGUGUAAUUGUGAGGUGAUCAAUAUUUCACUUGGAAAGUUAGUGGUUUGAAUACUAUUGGUUAAGUUUUGCUAAUUAAUUUUGAUUUAUGUUGAUAAAAGUUUAAAAGAAAACGAUUGAUGAUGGACAAGAUACGUUUGCCACUGUGUUUUUAUCAUCUAAUGAAAUUGUUAUACUAAAUAUUAAUUAUAUUGAGUAAUGUAUAAUUAAAGAAAUGGCUAAUUAAGAUUUUUACCCCUGAACUUUGAUAUGUACCAAAUUAUGCCUCUUGAAUUUUUAAGGUCGUUAAAAAUACCCGUUGAACUAUUGAGAUUGUUGAAUUUAAGGACUUUUGUCUAAUUUCAUUCAAUUUUACUAUUUUAGUGAUUGCUUAUGUACUAAAUUAUGCUCCCCAGACUUUGAUAUCUAUCAAAUUAUGCCGUUCGAACUUUGACAUAUACUAAAUCAUGCCUGUGAACUUUCAUCCAUGUUAGAAUUUUUAACUAAAAUUAGACAAAAGUCCUUUAAUUCAACAAUCUCAAUAGUUCAGGGGACAUUUUUAACGACCUUAAAAGUUUAGGGGGCAUGAUUUGGUAUAUGUUAAAGUUCAGGGGGCAAAAAUCCUAAUUAGCCUAAAGAAAUUGAUUUUCUAUUUGGGAUCCUGAUAUGGUCUUAUUUUUACUAUUUUGAAAAUUAUAAGGUCUAGUUUGUCAUUUAAUAAAAUAAAAAGUUCAAUUAGUAACUUUUACAAAAUACUGGAUCUAAAAUAUUAUUUAAUCUUUUUGUAAUCUUGUUGACAUUGGGACAAAAGUAUAAUUGAGUGGGUAGAAUUUUGUUUUGUUUUGUCUAUAGAAAUAUUUGCUUCUCUUAUCCUGUCGCAAAAAACAUAAAAAAAAUAUUCAAAACAUUAAACAAAAAUAAACUCUCUAACAAAUUAAUACCAAACAAUUUGAAGAAUGAGAGUCAAAGUGGAAUAUUUGACUUUAAAUUAAAAACUUUAGGGAAAAAGUCAAACAGAAAACAAAUGUUUCAUAGAAAGAAAAGAGUCUAAUAUCUCCUCCAAAUAUAAAGAAGCUUGUAUAUGUAUUGUGUUCAAUGAAUCAUUUUAGAAAUAUGAAUUUGAAAAUGUGAGAGUUGGAGUGAACGGGUCUAAUCAGAGUACAAGUCUUGAUAAACUCCUUUGUUAGAAGGCAAACGUUGCAGGCAUUUUAAGAAAUAUUCAUGAACGUUGGAAAUUAGAAAGUAGAUUUCUUUUCUAAUUUGAAAGAAUCAUGAAUGGGUAUUGUUAGAAAAAUUUAAAUUUUUAUGUAUAUUUUUCUAUCUAAGAACAAUUAUUAUUUUUAUAUUAUAUGGGU